rnacentral:rRNA from 1 species
AUGACCGUGACGCUGCAGGAUAUCGCUAUGAUCACCGGUCUUCCUAUCGAUGGCAAUCCUUUAUGUAUGAACACCGAUUCUGAAGGGUGGCGCGCGCAGAUGCAAGCCCUUAUCGGUAUGGUUCCUCCGGAGCCUCGGGAGCCAGAGAGGGAAGAUAAGAAGAAGGAAAGAGUCGCAGCGGGCGCUACUUUCACGUGGAUAUCAUCGCACUUUGCUCAUUGCCCCGAUGAUGCUAAUGAGGACAUGGUGAAGACUUAUGCUCGUGUCUACAUGUGGUACGUGGUAUCGAGGACAAUGUUUGCUGAUGGCACAGGCAAGAAUGCUCCAUGGAUGUGGCUGAAGGCAUUGACCGUCUUCGAUAGCAAAUGGAGUUGGGGUUCGGCGACACUAGCUUACUUGUAUCGACAGGUAUGA